rnacentral:rRNA from 1 species
CCAGACUCCUACGGGAGGCAGCAGUGAGGAAUAUUGGUCAAUGGUCGGGAGACUGAACCAGCCAAGCCGCGUGAGGGAGGAAGGUACAGAGUAUCGUAAACCUCUUUUGUCAGGGAACAAAGACUGGGACGCGUCCCCGGAUGAGUGUACCUGAAGAAAAAGCAUCGGCUAACUCCGUGCCAGCAGCCGCGGUAAUACGGAGGAUGCGAGCGUUAUCCGGAUUUAUUGGGUUUAAAGGGUGCGUAGGCGGGCGCUUAGGUCGGGGGUAAAAGUGCGGGGGCCAACCUCGUCGAGCCGUUGAAACUGGGUGCCUUGAGUGGGCGAGAAGUGCGCGGAAUGCGUGGUGUAGCGGUGAAAUGCAUAGAUAUCACGCAGAACUCCGAUUGCGAAGGCAGCGCACCGGCGCCCUACUGACGCUCAGGCACGAAAGCGUGGGUAUCGAACAGGAUUAGAUACCCUAGUAGCC